rnacentral:rRNA from 1 species
GACGAACGCUGGCGGCGUGCUUAACACAUGCAAGUCGAACGAAGAGCGAUGGAAGCUUGCUUCUCUCAAUCUUAGUGGCGAACGGGUGAGUAACGCGUAAUCAACCUGCCCUUCAGAGGGGGGCACCAGUUGGAAACGACUGCUAAUACCGCAUACGAUCUGACCUCGGCAUCGAGGAUAGAUGAAAGGUGGCCUCUACAUGUAAGCUAUCACUUCAGGAGGGGAUUGCGUUGGUUUAGUUAGUUGGAGGGGUAACGGCCCACCAAGGCGAGGAUCAGUAGCAGGUCGGAGAGGAUGAACGGCCACAUUGGGACUGAGACACGGCCCAGACUCCUACGGGAGGCAGCAGGGGGGAAUCGGCCGCAAUGGACGAAAGUCUGACGGAGCAACGCCGCGUGAGUGAUGACGGCCUUCGGGUUGUAAAGCUCUGUUAAUCGGGACGAAAGGCCUUUUUGCGAAUAGUGAGAAGGAUUGACGGUACCGGAAUAGAAAGCCACGGCUAACUACGUG